GACCCGACUGCUAUUUGGGUGAGGAUAAGCCAUGCGAGUUGAAUGGGAUACCCAAAGUUCCCAUGGCAAACUGCUCAGUAACACAUGAUCAACUUACCCUAUAGAGGAAAAUACCCUCGGGAAACUGAGGAUAAUAUUCCAUAGUUGAAUCGGCUUGGAAAAGUUUUUCAAUAAAAGGGAUAAGGAAAAUGGUUCUUAUCUGCUAUAGGAUAGGAUCGUGCUCGAUUAUGGUUGUUGGUGAGGUAAAGGCUCACCAAGCCGAUAAUCGAUAGGGGCCGUGAGAGCGGGAGCCCCGAGAUGGGUACUGAGACAACGACCCAGGCCUUACGAGGCGCAGCAGGCGCGAAACCUCCGCAAUACACGAAAGUGUGACGGGGUUACCCAAAGUGUUCUAUUUAGAACUGUGGUAGGUGAGUAUGUCCCCUACUAGAAAGGAGAGGGCAAGGCUGGUGCCAGCCGCCGCGGUAAAACCAGCUCUUCAAGUGGUCGGGAUAAUUAUUGGGCUUAAAGUGUCCGUAGCCGGUUUAGUAAGUUCCUGGUAAAAUCGGGUAGCUUAACUAUCUAUAUGCUAGGAAUACUACUAUACUAGAGGGCGGGAGAGGUCUGAGGUACUACAGGGGUAGGGGUGAAAUCUUAUAAUCCUUGUAGGACCACCAGUGGCGAAGGCGUCAGACUGGAACGCGCCUGACGGUGAGGGACGAAAGCCAGGGGAGCGAACCGGAUUAGAUACCCGGGUAGUCCUGGCCGUAAACGAUGCAUACUAGGUGAUGGCAUGGCCAUGAGCCAUGUCAGUGCCGUAGGGAAACCGUUAAGUGUGCCGCCUGGGAAGUACGGUCGCAAGGCUAAAACUUAA
rnacentral:rRNA from 1 species